rnacentral:rRNA from 1 species
UACGUAGGGUGCGAGCGUUGUCCGGAAUUAUUGGGCGUAAAGAGCUUGUGGGUGGCUCGUCGCGUCGGGAGUGAAAACCCGCGGCUUAACCGCGGGCCUGCUUUCGAUACGGGCAGACUAGAGUUCGGCAGGGGAGACUGGAAUUCCUGGUGUAGCGGUGAAAUGCGCAGAUAUCAGGAGGAACACCGGUGGCGAAGGCGGGUCUCUGGGCCGAUACUGACGCUGAGGAGCGAAAGCGUGGGGAGCGAACAGG